UGGGGAAUCUUGGACAAUGGGGGCAACCCUGAUCCAGCGAUGCCGCGUGGGUGAAGAAGGCCUUCGGGUUGUAAAGCCCUUUAGGUUGGGAAGAAGUUUUUAUCAUGAAUAAGGGUAGAGAUUGACUGUACCGACAGAAUAAGCACCGGCAAACUCUGUGCCAGCAGCCGCGGUAAUACAGAGGGUGCGAGCGUUAAUCGGAAUUACUGGGCGUAAAGGGCGCGUAGGCGGUUGUAUGUGUGGGAUGUGAAAGCCCCGGGCUUAACCUGGGAAGGGCAUGCCAAACUAUAUAACUGGAGUAUAAGAGAGGGUGGUGGAAUUUCCGGUGUAGCGGUGAAAUGCGUAGAGAUCGGAAGGAACGUCAAUGGCGAAGGCAGCCACCUGGCUUAAUACUGACGCUGAGGCGCGAAAGCGUGGGGAGCAAACAGG
rnacentral:rRNA from 1 species